UUUAAAGUGUAAUGUAAGUCGCUUUGGAUAAAAGCGUCUGCUAAAUGAAAUGUA
rfam:Gasterosteus aculeatus cont1.005895, whole genome shotgun sequence.